rnacentral:rRNA from 1 species
AUUGAACGCUGGCGGCAAGCCUAACACAUGCAAGUCGAACGAGUGGCGGACGGGUUAGUAAUGUCUGGGAAACUGCCUGAUGGAGGGGGAUAACUACUGGAAAAGGUAGCUAAUACCGCAUACCAUCAGAAUUGCCCAGAUGGGAUUAGCUAGUUGGUGGGGUAACGGCUAACCAAGGGGACGAUCCCUAGCUGGUCUGAGAGGAUGACCAGCCAUACUGGAACUGUGAAAAGGUCCAGACUCCUACGGGAGGCAGCAGUGGGUAAUAUUGCAUAAUGGGCGCAAGCGUGAUGCAGCCAUGCAGCGUGUAUGAAGAAGGCCUUCGGUUUGUAAAGUACUUUCAGCGGGGAGGCGUUACCCGCAGAAGAAGCACCGGCUAACUCCGUGCCAGCAGCCGCGGGAUUC